rnacentral:rRNA from 1 species
UAAUACUAAUUAUUAUAUAUCUACUUUUUUUCACUAAUUCUUUUGAGGAUAAGCUCAAAGAGAAAGUUAAGAUAUUUAUGAUUAUAAGCCGCUGUGUGGGCUUAAAAUUGGCCACCACAAAAGUUUGUUAUAAAAUAACGGUUUCAACUCAAAAAAUAAAUAUAUUUUAAUCUAACUUCUUACGGAAAUAAAAUCUUUAACUAAAGCAAGUUUUAUACCUAUGCUAGGAUGAGUAUUAUAAACUAAUAUUAAACAUGAAAAUAUUUUCUUCAAUAAAGAUUAUUCAAACAAACUAAUUAAUCAAAAGGAACUCGGCAAAAUUAGUUGCUUCGCCUGUUUAUCAAAAACAUGGCUCUCUGCUUAUGUAAAUAUAGAGAGUCGAGCCUGCCCAGUGAAUUUUCAACGGCCGCGGUACUCUGACCGUGCAAAGGUAGCAUAAUCAUUUGCCUUAUAAUUGAAGGCUAGUAUGAAUGGUUUGACGAGAGCAACGCUGUCUCUUUUUUAUUUUCAAGAACUUAACUUUUAGGUGAAGAGGCCUAAAUUUUAUUGAAGGACAAGAAGACCCUGUCGAGCUUAAAAGAUAUUAUAGAAGUGUAUAUAUUUUUAAAUAAAUUUUCUAUUCAGCUUUUUAGUUGG